rnacentral:rRNA from 1 species
AAAAGCAUGCGGCGGCUACCAUGCAGUCGAGCGGAAACAAAUAGUACUUGCUACUCUGGCGUCGAGCGGCGGACGGGUGAGUAAUGCUUGGGAACAUGCCUUGAGGUGGGGGACAACAGUUGGAAACGACUGCUAAUACCGCAUAAUGUCUACGGACCAAAGGGGGCUUCGGCUCUCGCCUUUAGAUUGGCCCAAGUGGGAUUAGCUAGUUGGUGAGGUAAUGGCUCACCAAGGCGACGAUCCCUAUCUGGUUUGAGAGGAUGAUCACCCACACUGGGACUGAGACACGGCCCACACUCCUACGGGAGGCAGCAGUGGGGAAUAUUGCACAAUGGGCGCAAGCCUGAUGCACCCAUGCCGCGUGUGUGAAAAAGGCCUUCGGGUUGUAAAGCACUUUCAGUCAGGAGGAAAGGUUAAUAGUUAAUACCUGCUAUCUGUGACGUUACUGACAGAAGAAGCACCGGCUAACUCCGUGCCAGCAGCCGCGGUAAUACGGAGGGUGCGAGCGUUAAUCGGAAUUACUGGGCGUAAAGCGUACGCAGGCGGUUUGUUAAGCGAGAUGUGAAAGCCCCGGGCUCAACCUGGGAACUGCAUUUCAAACUGGCAAACUAGAGUGUGAUAGAGGGUGGUAGAAUUUCAGGUGUAGCGGUGAAAUGCGUAGAGAUCUGAAAGAAUACCGAUGGCGAAGGCAGCCACCUGGGUCAACACUGACGCUCAUGUACGAGAGCGUGGAGAGCACACAGGAUUAUAUCUGCGGGGUACAC